AACGAACGCUGGCGGCAUGCCUAACACAUGCAAGUCGAACGAGACCUUCGGGUCUAGUGGCGCACGGGUGCGUAACGCGUGGGAACCUGCCCUUAGGUUCGGAAUAACUCCCCGAAAGGGGUGCUAAUACCGGAUAAUGUCUUCGGACCAAAGAUUUAUCGCCUUUGGAUGGGCCCGCGUUGGAUUAGCUAGUUGGUAGAGUAAAAGCCUACCAAGGCGACGAUCCAUAGCUGGUCUGAGAGGAUGAUCAGCCACACUGGGACUGAGACACGGCCCAGACUCCUACGGGAGGCAGCAGUGGGGAAUAUUGGACAAUGGGCGAAAGCCUGAUCCAGCAAUGCCGCGUGAGUGAUGAAGGCCUUAGGGUUGUAAAGCUCUUUUACCCGGGAUGAUAAUGACAGUACCGGGAGAAUAAGCUCCGGCUAACUCCGU
rnacentral:rRNA from 1 species